AUGCAGUGCAGGGUUGCAACAAAAUCAUCUAUUGUGCCACUGCUCGGUCUUCAAUCACUGGAGAUCUCAUCAGAGUUGAUCAUCAAGGGGUUUACAAUCUCACCAAAGCCUUGCAGGACUACAACAAUAAACUAGCACAGCAACGAGCUGGAAAGAGUAGCAAAAGCAAGCUUUUAAUUGCAAAAUUCAAGUCUGAAGAUUCAUUGAACGGGUGGGAAGUCCGUCAAGGGACAUAUUUCCAGGAUGUGGUUGUUUCUAAGUAUGAUGGAGGAAUGGAUGCCAAGUUUGAGUUCACUGAAAUCGGAGAUGCUGUUUUUUCAGGGUAUGUCUUCACAAGAGGAGGAUAUGUUGACUUGUCACGAAAACUCUCACUCCCUUUGGGUUACACUCUUGACAGGUAUGAGGGUCUAGUAUUCUCUGUUGGUGGAAAUGGAAGAUCUUAUGUUGUAAUUCUUGAAGCUGGUCCUUCAGCAGAUACAACACAAAGCAAAUUGUAUUUUUCCAGAAUUAGCACAAAAGCAGGAUUUUGCAGGGUGAGAGUUCCAUUUUCUUCAUUUCGGCCGGUGAAGCCAGACGAUCCCCCAUUGGAUCCAUUCCUUGUGCAUACCUUGACCAUACGCUUUGAGCCCAGAAGACAGAGGCCAAUUGAAGGAACUACAGGGACGAACCAAGAUCUGAGAAGCUUUCAGCUAAUUAUGGAAUAUAUUAAGGCUUUGCCUACUGGACAAGAAACUGACUUUGUCUUGGUAUCAUGUACGGGGUCAGGAAUAGAGCCUACCAGACGGGAGCAAGUUUUGCGAGCAAAGAGGGCUGGUGAAGAUUCAUUAAGAAGGUCCGGCCUUGGAUACACAAUAAUUCGCCCAGGACCCUUGAUGGAAGAACCAGGUGGGCAACGUGCGCUCAUAUUUGAUCAAGGAAAUCGUAUCUCUCAGGGAAUCAGUUGUGCUGAUGUGGCUGACAUUUGUGUGAAGGCAUUGCACGAUUCAACAGCCAGAAACAAGAGCUUUGAUGUAUGUUAUGAAUAUGUCGCUGAGCCUGGGAAGGAGUUGUACGAGUUGGUUGCACAUUUGCCUGACAAAGCAAACAACUAUUUGACACCAGCACUCUCAGUACUGGAGAAAAACACAUGAUCAUUCUCUCAGUUUGUUCGAGUUACAAUCUUGAUUCAAUCUCUAACAGAAGGUAUUGGUGUGAGACUUACCAAGAUCUUUUUGACUAAGAGGAAUACUUU
rnacentral:misc_RNA from 1 species